AUUCCCAAGGCUGUGUAUAUCUUUUGUUUGUUUGUUUUGUAAAUUGGUGAGUGCCAAAGUCUUUUUCUGUAUUUAGAUGGAUUGUGUUGUAUGUUUGCCUUCCUACGUAUCUGCAUCCUCCUGUUACUGGCUUGUUUUUUGCCUCUCAUUGGAAAAUACUGGUUCAGCACAUUUCAGGUUAGCCACUAUUCAUCACUGAUGCCAACCAGCAACAUUAAUGUUUCUUAUCGAAAUUCCUCUUUGGCCCAUGGAUGGACUUUGUAGGGAUCGAUGAGACGAAUCGUAAGCACUGAAGGCUUCAAACAUCGCAAAAAGCAAGCAUGAUAUGCUUCCAGUCAGACGCCCUACUCCGGGAUCAUGUCCGAAUCACUCAGAAAGCUCCGUGAAAACGUUUACAAUCCUCUUUGGCCCCAGGAUAGAGCUUGAAGGGAUUGAUGAGGCGAAUCAUAAGGACUAAAGGCUUCAAACAUCGAAAAUAGCAAGCACGAUAUGCUUCCAGUCAGACGUCCUACUCUGGGAUCAGGUCAUGUCCGAAUCACUCAGAAAGUUCCGCGGAAACAUUUACAAUCCUCUUCGGCUUAAGGAUAGAACUUGAAGGGAUUGAUGAGGCGAAUCAUAAGCAGUGAAGGCUUCAAACAUCGCAAACAGCAAGCAUGAUAUGCUUCCAGACGUCCAGACGUCUUACUCCGGGAUCAGGUUAUUUCCGAAUCACUCAGAAAUCUCCGCGAAAACUUUACCAACCGAAGAGUAUAAGCCAACCAAUCACCCAGCUAGCGUUAUGUUUCCUUUCGAAAUAUAAAGCUCUUGAACACCCUAUCCUCACUCAAACUUUUUUUGGAAAAGGUACUCUUUCAUACUGAUAUUUCAUAUUUCAUAUCGAAGUUCUGCAGAAGAUAACAAAUGACAAAUUUGCCCGCCAUAUUGAAGAUCCCCCUAAUGUAUGCGUGACGUCAAAAAUAUUCCCAGAAAACACCCACCUGAGCAGUUUGUUCCUCUCACACUUACAAUCGACUGAUUAUCUAUUACGCCAUUUGACGUUCCUGUGCAGGAUGAACACACGGGGGAUUGAAUUAGAUGAAGCGGAAAGAAACAUCUUAAGCCUCUUUCCAAUAACACCAAUUAGCCGAUGGUUACUUUUUCUUCAGACUACGCGUAGUAAGCCUUAGAUAGGUGAUCUUCAUCUUAAGGAAAACGCUUUGCCCUUAAAACAUCUCUUGAACAUAAUCUAUUAUACUUACUUUAUAGAGGACGCUUAUCCAUAGGGGAAGUUUCAGAUCCAGAGCCGUUUAGUGCAAAAUAAUCUCAAAUGUCAAUAAUCUCAGCAAAUUUAGGCAAGUGAUUAGUCAUAGCUUUGAGCAGCUGAUCAGGAUUAGUUGGGCACACGAAUACCUCCUCACAAUUUGUUAAUAAGAAAUUCAAACAUAUUAAUUCAAAGUGACAGUGGUGUGGAGGUGCUGUCAGAUAUCAAGGAAGGUGGGUCCAAUUUUGGUAUUGAUGGCCGUUAUUGAUACUCUCCAACUUCCGGGUGGGAUUAACUUCUGGCCCGCAGCCAAUGCAACUUGAGGUGUAAUUUGCGUUUUGAGAAGCUUAGGUUCAUGGCUAUGACAACGCACGCGCAUAAGCCAACACUGGAUAUUUGGUAACGUCAACAAGAUUCCAUAAUGGCGCCUACUCUGAGAGACGCCAUACAUGAUCCUUUCUUAGCUCAGUUCAGCGCCUGGAAGUGUCCUUGUCCAGUAGCACCUUCAGAAGCUUGUUGCAUAACAAUGCAAAUUAAGGAGAGUGUAAAAAUAUGAGGUCUUUGUAACUUACGCGAGUGAUUCAAAGGUGGAACUUUUGAAGUUCGGAGUGAUUCAGUUUCAGCGCGAAUAUCUUUACGACCACGUGUCAUAUAUUUUGAAAAAUAAGCUGUCUGAUGGAAAACCAAAUUGCUUCAAACUAUAAAGACGCUAGUUGUGUGGCAAUAUGAUGACGAAAACAGGAACGUUUCAGAUAUACAAGAGAACGGUACUUCGAAAUGAAGUUUUUGAACUCCAUUUCAAUCUGAAAACAAAGAGGUGCUUCUCGAUAACGGUCCUCGGCUUGUGGAAGAUCUUUACACCGUUUUUGGCUUCCCUGGAUUCUUCGUGAAUGUUUGUGUUCAAACUUCAAGAAAUCUUAUCUAAAGUGCUGUUACUUUGUAAGAAUAUACUCCUGAUAUUAUCAUGUUAUGGCACUCAAAUGGAACUAAGUUUCUAGUUUAAGGAGGUAGAAUUAUUGGUUCCAUUUUCACUUCCCCACCACCUCAUAUCUUAUACUUCGAGUGUAAAAA